GGCUAUCAACAGGCUUACAUUUCAGCAAAAUUUAUUUAUUAACCUCAUUUUUGUAGAAAUUCCCAAAUGUGCAAUGGACAUGGAUGUAGACCAUAUCGAAGAUGAGCUGGAGAAUAACUCAGCUGAAAUUUUGGAUAUCCGAGAUGCUGACAUAGACCCGAAUGAAUUUUUAAUGGAAACUGUGGAUAUCAAUGACAACUCGUUGAAUAACUCCGCUGAAAUUUUGGAUAUCCGAGAUGCUGACAUAGACCCGA